rnacentral:antisense_RNA from 1 species
UUUUAUGGCGGCUGUGCGCGGGCACGCUUCGGCGUGGCCGGUGCCCUUUCGUGCCGGUUUCCUACCCCGCGUACAGCUGCCACCCCA